UGGGGAAUAUUGGACAAUGGGCGCAAGCCUGAUCCAGCAAUGCCGCGUGGGUGAAGAAGGUCUUCGGAUUGUAAAGCCCUUUCGACGGGGACGAUGAUGACGGUACCCUCCGAAUCAGGCUCGGCUAACUCUGUGCCAGCAGCCGCGGUAAGACAGAGGAGCCAAGCGUUGUCCGGACUGACUGGGCGUAAAGCGCCCGCAGGCGGCACGGCAAGUGGGGUGUGAAAGCGGCCGGCUUAACCGGCCGAGGCCAUGCCAGACUGCCGCGCUCGAGCCAUGCAGAGGGUGGUGGAAGUGCCGGUGUAGUGGUGAAAUGCGUAGAGAUCGGCAGGAACACCGAGGGGGAAGCCAGCCACCUGGGCAUGUGCUGACGCUGAGGGGCGACAGCGUGGGGAGCGAAC
rnacentral:rRNA from 1 species